rnacentral:tRNA from 1 species
GCGGGAAUGGCGGAAUUGGCAGACGCGCUAGGUUGAGGGCCUAGUCCCUGUAAUGGGGGUGCAGGUUCAAGUCCUGUUUCCCGCA